rnacentral:rRNA from 1 species
GUGGGGAAUCUUGCACAAUGGGGGAAACCCUGAUGCAGCGACGCCGCGUGAGUGAUGAAGUCCUUCGGGAUGUAAAGCUCUUUCGACAGGAACGAUAAUGACGGUACCUGGAGAAGAAGCUGCGGCUAACUACGUGCCAGCAGCCGCGGUAAUACGUAGGCAGCAAGCGUUGUUCGGAAUUAUUGGGCGUAAAGAGUAUGUAGGCGGUUCACUAAGUCUGAUGUGAAAUCUCCCGGCUUAACUGGGAGGGUGCGUCGGAUACUGGUGGGCUCGAGUGCGGGAGAGGGAAGCGGAAUUCCUGGUGUAGCGGUGAAAUGCGUAGAUAUCAGGAGGAACACCGGUGGUGUAGACGGCUUCCUGGACCGUAACUGACGCUGAGAUACGAAAGCGUGGGUAGCAAACAGGAUUAGAAACCCUAGUAGUCC